AUACUUACCUGGCAGGGAAGAUACUAUGAUCACGAAGGUGGUUUUUCCAGGGUGAGGCUCACCUAUCUCACUCCAGAUGUGCUGACCCCUGUGAUUUCCCCAAAUGUGGAAAACUCCACUGCAUACUUGGAGGUAGGGAGGGACUGUGUUAGCGCUCUCCCCUG